GGUUAAGCGACUAAGCGUACACGGUGGAUGCCCUGGCAGUCAGAGGCGAUGAAGGACGUGCUAAUCUGCGAAAAGCGUCGGUAAGGUGAUAUGAACCGUUACAGCCGGCGAUGUCCGAAUGGGGAAACCCAGUGCAAUUCGUUGCACUAUCGUUUGAUGAAUACAUAGUCAAACGAGGCGAACCGGGGGAACUGAAACAUCUAAGUACCCCGAGGAAAAGAAAUCAACCGAGAUUCCCCCAGUAGCGGCGAGCGAACGGGGAGCAGCCCGGAGUCUGAAUCAGCUUGUGUGUUAGUGGAAGCGUCUGGAAAGUCGCAGGGUACAGGGUGAUACUCCCGUACACUAAAACACACAGGUUGUGAACUCGAAGAGUAGGGCGGGACACGUGGUAUCCUGUCUGAAUAUGGGGGGACCAUCCUCCAAGGCUAAAUACUCCUGACUGACCGAUAGUGAACCAGUACCGUGAGGGAAAGGCGAAAAGAACCCCGGCGAGGGGAGUGAAAAAGAACCUGAAACCGUGUACGUACAAGCAGUAGGAGCCCACUUGUUGGGUGACUGCGUACCUUUUGUAUAAUGGGUCAGCGACUUAUAUUCUGUAGCAAGGUUAACCGUAUAGGGGAGCCGCAGGGAAACCGAGUCUUAACUGGGCGUUAAGUUGCAGGGUAUAGACCCGAAACCCGGUGAUCUAGCCAUGGGCAGGUUGAAGGUUGGGUAACACUAACUGGAGGACCGAACCGACUAAUGUUGAAAAAUUAGCGGAUGACUUGUGGCUGGGGGUGAAAGGCCAAUCAAACCGGGAGAUAGCUGGUUCUCCCCGAAAGCUAUUUAGGUAGCGCCUCGUGAAUUCAUCUUCGGGGGUAGAGCACUGUUUCGGCUAGGGGGUCAUCCCGACUUACCAACCCGAUGCAAACUACGAAUACCGAAGAAUGUUAUCACGGGAGACACACGGCGGGUGCUAACGUCCGUCGUGAAGAGGGAAACAACCCAGACCGCCAGCUAAGGUCCCAAAGUCAUGGUUAAGUGGGAAACGAUGUGGGAAGGCCCAGACAGCCAGGAUGUUGGCUUAGAAGCAGCCAUCAUUUAAAGAAAGCGUAAUAGCUCACUGGUCGAGUCGGCCUGCGCGGAAGAUGUAACGGGGCUAAACCAUGCACCGAAGCUGCGGCAGCGACGCUUAUGCGUUGUUGGGUAGGGGAGCGUUCUGUAAGCCGUUGAAGGUGGCCUGUGAGGGUUGCUGGAGGUAUCAGAAGUGCGAAUGCUGACAUAAGUAACGAUAAUGCGGGUGAAAAACCCGCACGCCGGAAGACCAAGGGUUCCUGUCCAACGUUAAUCGGGGCAGGGUGAGUCGACCCCUAAGGCGAGGCCGAAAGGCGUAGUCGAUGGGAAACAGGUUAAUAUUCCUGUACUUGGUGUUACUGCGAAGGGGGGACGGAGAAGGCUAUGUUGGCCGGGCGACGGUUGUCCCGGUUUAAGCGUGUAGGUGUGUGUUCCAGGUAAAUCCGGUUCACUUUAACACUGAGGCGUGAUGACGAGGCACUACGGUGCUGAAGUGACAAAUGCCCUGCUUCCAGGAAAAGCCUCUAAGCAUCAGGUAACAUCAAAUCGUACCCCAAACCGACACAGGUGGUCAGGUAGAGAAUACCAAGGCGCUUGAGAGAACUCGGGUGAAGGAACUAGGCAAAAUGGUGCCGUAACUUCGGGAGAAGGCACGCUGAUAUGUAGGUGAAGUGGUUUACCCAUGGAGCUGAAAUCAGUCGAAGAUACCAGCUGGCUGCAACUGUUUAUUAAAAACACAGCACUGUGCAAACACGAAAGUGGACGUAUACGGUGUGACGCCUGCCCGGUGCCGGAAGGUUAAUUGAUGGGGUUAUCCGUAAGGAGAAGCUCUUGAUCGAAGCCCCGGUAAACGGCGGCCGUAACUAUAACGGUCCUAAGGUAGCGAAAUUCCUUGUCGGGUAAGUUCCGACCUGCACGAAUGGCGUAAUGAUGGCCAGGCUGUCUCCACCCGAGACUCAGUGAAAUUGAACUCGCUGUGAAGAUGCAGUGUACCCGCGGCAAGACGGAAAGACCCCGUGAACCUUUACUAUAGCUUGACACUGAACACUGGUCCUUGAUGUGUAGGAUAGGUGGGAGGCUUUGAAG
rnacentral:rRNA from 1 species